UACACUCCUACGGGAGGCAGCAGUGAGGAAUAUUGGACAAUGGGUGGAAGCCUGAUCCAGCCAUCCCGCGUGCAGGAAGACGGCCCUAUGGGUUGUAAACUGCUUUUAUCUGGGGAUAAACCUACUUACGUGUAAGUAGCUGAAGGUACCAGAAGAAUAAGCACCGGCUAACUCCGUGCCAGCAGCCGCGGUAAUACGGAGGGUGCAAGCGUUAUCCGGAUUUAUUGGGUUUAAAGGGUCCGUAGGCGGACUGAUAAGUCAGUGGUGAAAUCCGACAGCUUAACUGUCGAACUGCCAUUGAUACUGUUAGUCUUGAGUAAGGUUGAAGUGGCUGGAAUAAGUAGUGUAGCGGUGAAAUGCAUAGAUAUUACUUAGAACACCAAUUGCGAAGGCAGGUCACUAAGUCUUAACUGACGCUGAUGGACGAAAGCGUGGGGAGCGAACAGGAUUAGAAACCCCGGUAGUCCC
rnacentral:rRNA from 1 species